rnacentral:tRNA from 1 species
GCGCCGGUGGUGUAAGGCGAACAUCGCUGCCCGGAAAGCAGAAAAUGCGGGUUCAAGUCCCGCCUGACGCA